CCGCGGUAAUUCCAGCUCCAAUAGCGUAUAUUAAAGUUGUUGCAGUUAAAAAGCUCGUAGUUGAAUUUCGGGGUUAGUAGGUUGGUCAUGCCUCUGGUAUGUACUGGUCUCACUGAUUCCUCCUUCCUGAUGAACCUUAAUGCCAUUAAUUUGGUGUUUUGGGGAAUUUGGACUGUUACUUUGAAAAAAUUAGAGUGUUUAAAGCAAGCUAACGCUUGAAUACAUUAGCAUGGAAUAAUGAAAUAGGACGUUCGAUCCUAUUUUGUUGGUUUCUAGGAUUGACGUAAUGAUUAAUAGGGAUAGUUGGGGGCAUUAGUAUUCAAUUGUCAGAGGUGAAAUUCUUGGAUUUAUUGAAGACUAACUACUGCGAAAGCAUUUGCCAAGGAUGUUUUCAUUAAUCAAGAACGAAAGUUAGGGGAUCGAAGACGAUCAGAUACCGUCGUAGUCUUAACCAUAAACUAUGCCGACUAGGGAUCGGAUGAUGUUAAUUUUUUAAUGACUCAUUCGGCGCCUUACG
rnacentral:ncRNA from 2 species